rnacentral:lncRNA from 1 species
CUUUAGCGAAUGGAUAAGAUACAUUCGCACCAUUUCUCGCUAUGAGGAUAACGAGUAUGUCCUCGAUGAGAAGCUCGAGAAAAUCAACCCCGAAAUCGCUACUCCGGCUGAAAUCACCGCUUUUGAGACUCAUGAGCGAGAUGCAACGAAGGUACAUUGCAUCAUGAUUGCCACCAUGAACUCCGAAUUCCAAAAGUCCUACGAGGACAUGUACCCGUACGAGAUGCACCAAGACUUAUUGGAGAGAUACCACCAAAAUGCGAGACAAGAGCGUUAUGAGAUUUUCACCAACAUGAUUUCCGCUAAGAUGGGUCAUGGAGAAUCUCUUACCGUGCACUUGCAAAAGAUGCAAAGGUAUGUCGACCGCCUUCGCAAGUUAAAUGUUGACUUUGGGGAAGACUUGGCGAUCGACAUGGUGCUUCACUCUUUGCCUCCGAGCUACAAUCAAUUAAGGAUGACCUACCACAUGAACAAAGAGGAGGUCACCCUAAGCAAACUCCAAGGUCUCUUGAGGGUCGCUGAGAGCAACUUCAAAGACAAGUCUGUUGCACCAACUCCAAUCGACCCACUGCUCCUGUCUUGGCCAUAGGUCAAGGAAAGGGAAUGAAGAGGAAGGCUUCGUAUAAGAGGUCACCCUAAGCAAACUCCAAGGUCUUUUGAGGGUGACCUACCACAUGAACAAAGAAGAGGUCACUCUUUGCCUCCGAUGUACAACCAAUUUAGGAUGACCUACCACAUGAACAAAGAAGAGGUCACCCUAAGCAAACUCCAAGGUCUUUUGAGGGUCGCUGAGAGCAACUUCAAAGACAAGUCUGUUGCACCAACUCCCAAUCCGCCUGCUGCUCCUGUCUUGGCUAUUGGUCAAGGAAAGGGAAAGAAGAGGAAAGCUUCAUCGAAGAACUAUC